rnacentral:misc_RNA from 1 species
GAUGAAGAACGUAGCGAAAUGCGAUACGUAAUGUGAAUUGCAGAAUUCAGUGAAUCAUCGAAUCUUUGAACGCAUAUUGCGCUCUCUGGUAUUCCGGAGAGCAUGCUUGUUUGAGUAUCAGUAAACACCUCAACUUCCAUAUCUUUUUUGAAAUGGGAGUUGGACUUGAGUGAUCCCAACGCUUUUCCUCACCGAAAAGUGGCGGGUUACUUGAAAUGCAGGUGCAGCUGGACUUUUCUCUGGGCUAUAAGAAUAUCUAUUUAGUCUGCCUAAAAACAGAUUAUUACCUUUGCUGCAGCUAACAUAAAGGAGAUUAGUUCUUGUGCUGACUGAUGCAGGAUUCACAAAGACAGGCUUCGGCCGACUUUGUAAACUCGAUCUCAAAUCAAGUAAGACUACCCGCUGAACUUAAGCAUAUCAAUAAGCGGAGGA